rnacentral:rRNA from 1 species
UACGUAGGGGGCAAGCGUUGUCCGGAAUCAUUGGGCGUAAAGAGCGUGUAGGCGGCCAGAAAAGUCCGCUGUGAAAACUCGAGGCUCAACCUCGAGACGCCGGUGGAAACCGUAAGGCUAGAGUCCGGAAGAGGAGAGUGGAAUUCCUGGUGUAGCGGUGAAAUGCGCAGAUAUCAGGAGGAACACCCGUGGCGAAAGCGGCUCUCUGGGACGGUACUGACGCUGAGACGCGAAAGCGUGGGGAGCAAACAGG